UGGGGAAUAUUGCACAAUGGGCGCAAGCCUGAUGCAGCCAUGCCGCGUGUGUGAAGAAGGCCUUCGGGUUGUAAAGCACUUUCAGCGGGGAGGAAGGCGUUAAGGUUAAUAACCUUGGCGAUUGACGUUACCCGCAGAAGAAGCACCGGCUAACUCCGUGCCAGCAGCCGCGGUAAUACGGAGGGUGCAAGCGUUAAUCGGAAUUACUGGGCAUAAAGCGCACGCAGGCGGUCUGUCAAGUCGGAUGUGAAAUCCCCGGGCUCAACCUGGGAACUGCAUUCGAAACUGGCAGGCUAGAGUCUUGUAGAGGGGGGUAGAAUUCCAGGUGUAGCGAUGAAAUGCGUAGAGAUCUGGAGGAAUACCGGUGGCGAAGGCGGCCCCCUGGACAAAGACUGACGCUCAGGUGCGAAAGCGUGGGGAGCAAACAGG
rnacentral:rRNA from 1 species